ACUUAUUGCCAGAAAAGAAUAAAAACCUGUUGUUGGUUGCUAGUAUAAGUAGGACGGUUCUAUUUGUAACCGUCAUUACUCAUCACACUACACUCUCAUUCAUUUCUUCAUUCAUCAACAAGAAACGAGGCUAAUCCGUCGAGUAUUGCAUUCUGAUUCGAAGAUUCGGCAUCGAUCGGAAUCCGUUUCUUCAGCCUAAUCGCAGUGCUACAUUGAUCCAGAUUUUAGUUAUUAAAGUUCAGGUUGUGAAAGCUUGAUUCUAGGGUCAGUGGAAGUGGGGGGAAUCAGUGUACACAGUUAAGGAAGCUUAUUUUUAUUUGAAUGAAUGUCAGACAAGGAAGUGUUUUGGGCUAAAGAUGUGUGGAACCUGCUGAUACCAUUGAGAUUGUCGGUGCUGGUCUGGAGGCUAUUCCUUAAUAGAUUAGCCAAUAAAGAUAAUCUAAGCUUUAGAGGUGUGAGGUUGAAUUCAUUGUUGUAUUAUGUUGGUGGCUGCGGUAGGCUCGAGACUGUGAACCGCGUCUUUUUUAAUUGUGCUAUUUUGUCGAUGAUUUGGCGCGAGUCGUUGAAGUAGCUCGGUGUUUCAGGUGUUUUUGUUGAAGGGGGAUUUGAGCAUCUAAAUUUGUUCAAAGGUUUGGUUGCUGGAGGUAAAAACGUUCUUGAGAGGCUGGGUGUAAUCUAGGUCUCAAUUAUCUCUUCCAUCUGGAAUGCUAGGAACGCAAUGGUCUUUUAACAGACUGGUAUUAAUUGGGAAAAGGUUGCGGGUGAAUAUAAAGUUCUAUCUUGGAGAGUUAUUCGAUUAAGAUCUACAGGUUUUAACUUUCCCCGUUGCUAGUGGCUUGCUAAUUCUUUGGACUGUCUGGGGGUGCAUAGGUUUAUGUAGGAGAUGUUCACGUGUGUAUUCGAUCGUGUAGUUUUGUUUUUGGUGCUGCACUCUUCUCUUCUGUGGAACAUCCAUGUUGGUUCUGUUUUGGAGUCUAUAUGAUUGUAGCAUGGACUUUCUGUCGUAGGAGUCUAAGAUUGAACAAAUUAGGUGGUCAAAUCAGCUAUCAAAGGAACUGUGUUUAAUAUUUGUGUCGUCGGAUCUAGUCCUUGUGUCGCUUUCAUGAGCUGCUAGAAGGAUUUUGGUUGUAAUUCCUGAGCUGGUUUAAUGGAACGCGGGAUUUGAAAUGUGGAUACGGAAUUUGUCAAAUACGCUUUGGUUUUGAUAGGAAGUAUUACUAUGGGAGCAUGAAGGCUCUUUAUAUUCGGUGAUAGUAGCUUGUUUAUUUUGAUGUAUUUUAUUAGGUCCUGUAAAGGUUUAGGCCUUUGGUAUUGGUGUAAUUAACAUUCUAAUCCUAGUACAACUUGUGCAAGGAUUAGUGUUUUUAAAUUUUUUAUGCUUUUUUAUAACAAAACAACAAAGUUUGGUUUGUUUGUUUUAA